rnacentral:lncRNA from 1 species
UUUUUUUAACUAACAAGCCCAAGAUUGAUCUUGUGGGAACAAGAUCAAGCCAUGCUCUGAUACUAAAUGAUAUAAGAAUGCAUAAGGGAAACACAAAACAAACACCAAAUCAAUUCACAAGUUUGAAGAACUGAGGACCCAUUUGGUGACCACUCUUGGAUUCACUACAACAAUAAUAAAAACACAAUAACAACAAGAUAUUGAAGG